rnacentral:rRNA from 1 species
UGGGGAAUAUUGCACAAUGGGCGCAAGCCUGAUGCAGCCAUGCCGCGUGUAUGAAGAAGGCCUUCGGGUUGUAAAGUACUUUCAGCGAGGAGGAAGGCGGUAAGGUUAAUAACCUUAUCGAUUGACGUUACUCGCAGAAGAAGCACCGGCUAACUCCGUGCCAGCAGCCGCGGUAAUACGGAGGGUGCAAGCGUUAAUCGGAAUUACUGGGCGUAAAGCGCACGCAGGCGGUCUGUCAAGUCGGAUGUGAAAUCCCCGGGCUCAACCUGGGAACUGCAUUCGAGACUGGCAGGCUAGAGUCUUGUAGAGGGGGGUAGAAUUCCAGGUGUAGCGGUGAAAUGCGUAGAGAUCUGGAGGAAUACCGGUGGCGAAGGCGGCCCCCUGGACAAAGACUGACGCUCAGGUGCGAAAGCGUGGGGAGCAAACA